rnacentral:rRNA from 1 species
UACGUAGGGGUGCAAGCGUUGUCCGGAAUUAUUGGGCGUAAAGAGCGCGCAGGCGGUCGUUCAAGUCGCGUGUGAAAGCCCCCGGCUCAACUGGGGAGGGUCACGCGAUACUGAUCGACUCGAAGGCAGGAGAGGGAAGUGGAAUUCCCGGUGUAGUGGUGAAAUGCGUAGAUAUCGGGAGGAACACCAGUGGCGAAGGCGACUUCCUGGCCUGUUCUUGACGCUGAGGCGCGAAAGCUAGGGGAGCAAACGGG